AGGCUUGGGGGCUGAGGCCCAGCGGCCCGAGACCAACUGGGCUGACCGAGGCCGCCUCCCCGCCAGCCCUGGGGUCCACUGCCCGGGGAGCAGCUCCCUUCCCAGGUCAGACUCGGGCUUCAUCCUCUCUUGCCGCGCGCCGAGCGGUUUUCAACUCUCACUGCUAGAAUUCCUCCAACCACCCAGGAUAGCAGGACCGAGAUACAUGGCCACCCAUGACCCGGAGCGUCCACUUCCAGGGACAGGCAGUGGUGAUUGGCUUCGGUUGUCAUCUGUGCCAUCUGUCCAUGGUUCGAGAAGCUGCUGUUCACGUUUUGGGGAGGAUCAUGGUUUGAGGGCUCCCGUGGUAGAAUUUGGGGAGCUCUCAUAGGCAGAAGGCUGAGAAAAGUUGGUGCUGUGGGAAGUCAACUGGCAGCCGAUGGAGUCGGGACCCGGGAGGAAUGGAAAGGGAACCCAGAUAGGAAGCUACUGCAGUAGGCUCAGAGAGGUGAUGACGGCAGGGCUAAGACAGCGGCCUUGGGCGGUGACUGGGAAGAACGUUGAACACCGUGUUUGGGCUGAAGAAAAGAGCAAGGGAAGAGGUGAGGAACUUCAGUUACAGGGCUUUGACUCCUGAGUCUGAAAAAGGCACAGAUUCCUGCUAAAUCUUGAACACUGACGCCAGUCAAAGCCUCAUCUUCAGACCUGGGAGAAGGUGACAAUCGAAAUGAAAUGCUUUCAUGAGACGCAGGGCCAGUAAUUACAAGUAUUCAAUCCCCCUAGGCCCAGGGACUAUCGCGGAAGAGGUGGGCGUGUGAGAUUGUAAGGGCCAACUUUGAGGGAUAAAAUUAGAGUUUUUUUGUAAACAUUAAUAUCAAAGGCACACUGAGGCCAGGCAAGCGUCUGGCCCCUGUGUCGGAAUAACAAUUUUCCUGGACCACUGAUCUACUCUUUAAUAGAAGAUUGUAAAAGGUUAUACAAGGCGUAUGGAAAUCUUACUUCGUGGUCAAACUGAUUAAAAUUAGAUUUGUUUAUAAGGUUUUAUUAGCUUUAACAUUAAUAAUACCCCUAAAACAUUAAUAAGAGAUCAAAGAUUUUUGUUUACCUUUUAAGUAAACUACAGGAAAAAAAAA
rnacentral:lncRNA from 1 species